GGACUACUGGGGUUUCUAAUCCCGUUCGCUCCCCUGGCUUUCGUGUCUCAGCGUCAGCAUAUCCCCAGCAGACUGUCUUCACCGUUGGCGUUCCAAGUGAUAUCUACGCAUUUCACCGCUCCACCACUUGUUCCAUCUGCCCCUGGAUUGCUCAAGACCGCCAGUAUGCCCAGCCAUUCCCCGGUUGAGCCGGGGGAUUUCACAAGACACUUAACGGUCCGCCUACACACGCUUUAAGCCCAGUGAUUCCGCCUAACGCUCGGCACCUCUGUCUUACCGCGGCUGCUGGCAC
rnacentral:rRNA from 1 species